rnacentral:rRNA from 1 species
UAAUACUGGGAUAGGCAAUUAUUCCUGUAAUGGUUUUUUGUUUAAAUGUUUUUUCGCCUAAGGAUGGGUCUGCGGCCGAUUAGGUAGUUGGUUAGGUAAUGGCUUACCAAGCCUUUGAUCGGUACGGGUUGUGAGAGCAAGAGCCCGGAGAUGGAACCUGAGACAAGGUUCCAGGCCCUACGGGGUGCAGCAGGCGCGAAACCUCCGCAAUGUGAGAAAUCGCGACGGGGGGAUCCCAAGUGCCAUUCUUAACGGGAUGGCUUUUCUUUAGUGUAAAAAGCUUUUGGAAUAAGAGCUGGGCAAGACCGGUGCCAGCCGCCGCGGUAACACCGGCAGCUCUAGUGGUAGCAAUUUUUAUUGGGCCUAAAGCGUCCGUAGCCGGUUUAAUAAGUCUCUGGUGAAAUCCUGUAGCUUAACUGUGGGAAUUGCUGGAGAUACUAUUAGACUUGAGACCGGGAGAGGUUAGAGGUACUCCCAGGGUAGAGGUGAAAUUCUGUAAUCCUGGGAGGACCGCCCGUUGCGAAGGCGUCUAACUGGAACGGUUCUGACGGUGAGGGACGAAAGUUAGGGGCGCGAACCGGAUUAGAUACCCGGGUAGUCCUAACUGUAAACGAUGCGGACUUGGUGU